UUUGCUAAUAUGUAUUUUUAAAAUUUAAAUAAUAAUAAAAUGGGCUUUUCAUUGUUCAUAAGUAAAAACUAGCCUAUUGAAGUAAUUUCUUUCUUAUUUUAGUCAGGGUUUAUUAAGAAUAUUUUUCAUCAUAACUUUUAGGAUCUAGGGCUAUAUUAAUUUGGUUUUCUCCAUUGUUCUCUUGGUAUCAUGAAAUGUGUUUUUCCUAUUUUGUACUCACCCUCAUAUUCCUACAAUCCUAUCUGUGAAUAUCUCACUUCUAAAGUCCAAUUGAUAAUACUUUGCUUGCAUCCUAUAAAGUAUCAUUAAAGUAUACUUUCUUUGUAUGAUUUUUAUCAUUUUUUGAUAUUAAUAUUAUUUUGUUUUAUAAAAUAAAUUUAGGAGCUCCCUAAUUUUCUUAAUGUAAUUUAAAUAAAUUAAAACUAUCUUCUAAAAAUUAGAUAAACUCAUUUUUGAAACUCUUUGCUCAUGGUUCCUCAUUUAGAGAUACAUUUUAAAUCUUCUUUCCAGUCUAUUUUACAAUGAUUGAUUUCUCAACUUUUAUGCUUAUUCAUGAGUCUACGUUGGUAAUUUAUCUUUUGCUAGGAAAACAUCUACAUAAUCUAGGUUUUAAAAUAGGUUAUUCUUAUAAUUUUUUAAAUCUCACUUGUACCUGGAUUAUAUCUCCAUUUUCAUCCUGAUAUAUAUUUUUUGCUUCCCUUUCUUCUUAAUUGACCUCACAAUUUAUAUUAUUGAUCUUUUUCAAGAAUCAGUUUUCAGAUUUAUUAAUACUUUUUUCAAUCUUAUUUUCUCAGAUUAUAGUUUUAUGUAUUAUUUCCACUACUUCGUUUUAGCAUAUUUUGUUUUGUCUGAUUUUUCUUUUUUUUUGUCUGAUUUUUCAAGAUAAUACUAAGUUCUGUAUUUUUUGUCUUUCUUCUUUAAUAACAAAGCCAUUAAAGAUGUAAAAUUUUCUAUGAGAAUAGUGUUAGCUGUGUCCUAUGGGUUUUAGUGUAAAGAGUAUUCCUUUCAUGAAUUUCUAGAUAGUUUGUAAUUUCACUUUUGAAUUUAUGUUGCGUAUAAGGGUUAAAAGACUGUUUCUUAAAUUCCAAGUAACUAAUUUUUCAGAACUUCUAGAUUAUUAGAUUAACUGUCCUAGAAUGUAAUCUGUAAAAUCUCUACUUUAAAAUGUUUUCAUUUAUUCUUUGUCAGCAGCAGAAGACAGAUUUUAAAAAUAAUAAAUAUAGCUAUUUUGCCCAUUUGUGAAAUGCAAAGUUCUCUGUAUUCUUUCUCUCCCCC
rnacentral:lncRNA from 1 species